rnacentral:tRNA from 1 species
GGGUAUAGCUCACGCGGUAGACCACAUGUUUAGAAUGCAUGAGGUCCUGGGUUCAAUCCCCAGUAUCUCCU